rnacentral:rRNA from 1 species
ACGCUCGACACCUACGGGGGGCAGCAGUGGGGAAUAUUGCACAAUGGGGGGAACCCUGAUGCAGCGACGCCGCGUGAGUGAAGAAGUACUUCGGUAUGUAAAGCUCUAUCAGCAGGGAAGAAAAUGACGGUACCUGACUAAGAAGCCCCGGCUAACUACGUGCCACAGCCGCGGUAAUCUGAGCGGGCUGGCAAGGC